rnacentral:rRNA from 1 species
UACGUAGGGUGCGAGCGUUAAUCGGAAUUACUGGGCGUAAAGCGUGCGCAGGCGGUUUUGUAAGCCAGAUGUGAAAUCCCCGGGCUUAACCUGGGAAUGGCAUUUGGGACUGCAAGGCUUGAGUGCGGCAGAGGAGACUGGAAUUCCUGGUGUAGCAGUGAAAUGCGUAGAUAUCAGGAGGAACACCGGUGGCGAAGGCGGGUCUCUGGGCCGAUAUUGACGCUGAGGAGCGAAAGCGUGGGGAGCGAACAGG